UACGUAGGUGGCAAGCGUUGUCCGGAAUUAUUGGGCGUAAAGCGCGCGCAGGCGGUCCUUUAAGUCUGAUGUGAAAGCCCACGGCUCAACCGUGGAGGGUCAUUGGAAACUGGGGGACUUGAGUGCAGAAGAGGAGAGUGGAAUUCCACGUGUAGCGGUGAAAUGCGUAGAGAUGUGGAGGAACACCAGUGGCGAAGGCGGCUCACUGGUCCAUUACUGACGCUGAGGUGCGAAAGCGUGGGGAGCAAACAGG
rnacentral:rRNA from 1 species